rnacentral:rRNA from 1 species
AUGAACAAGGCACCCGGGAUCGGUGCUCCACUACGGGCGCGCCAGCAUGCCGAGCGCAUGCGUGCCUCUGUUGGACGCUCUCGUCGAUUAGGUCGCCACCGCACGGCACUCACGGGCACGCCAUGGCGCACAGGCCCGUGCUCGAUCCGGGUGAGCACGCCGCGGGGUGGCUACUACACACAACGUACGAAGGCGCCACCGCCACGGAGCCAGAGGAGCUGCUGUCCGCGGCGCGCACCCCGGCGACCACGUACAUGGACGCACAGUGCUACUGUGGCAAGGCAUACUGCAGGCGGUAUUGCAGCGUUUCGCUUUGGCGAGCGGCUUACAAACUUUGCGACCGAAUUUGGAAAAGGAAUGGGGUUUGCAACUAGCCUUUUGGUGCAAACUGAACGGGACUAG